AGCUUGCUCCCGGAUGUUAGCGGCGGACGGGUGAGUAACACGUGGGUAACCUGCCUGUAAAACUGGGAUAACUCCGGGAAACCGGAGCUAAUACCGGAUAGUUCCUUGAACCGCAUGGUUCAAGGAUGAAAGACGGUUUCGGCUGUCACUUACAGAUGGACCCGCGGCGCAUUAGCUAGUUGGUGGGGUAAUGGCUCACCAAGGCGACGAUGCGUAGCCAACCUGAGAGGGUGAUCGGCCACACUGGGACUGAGACACGGCCCAGACUCCUACGGGAGGCAGCAGUAGGGAAUCUUCCGCAAUGGACGAAAGUCUGACGGAGCAACGCCGCGUGAGUGAUGAAGGUUUUCGGAUCGUAAAGCUCUGUUGUUAGGGAAGAACAAGUGCGAGAGUAACUGCUCGCACCUUGACGGUACCUAACCAGAAAGCCACGGCUAACUACGUGCCAGCAGCCGCGGUAAUACGUAGGUGGCAAGCGUUGUCCGGAAUUAUUGGGCGUAAAGGGCUCGCAGGCGGUUUCUUAAGUCUGAUGUGAAAGCCCCCGGCUCAACCGGGGAGGGUCAUUGGAAACUGGGAAACUUGAGUGCAGAAGAGAGAGAGUGGAAUUCCACGUGUAGCGCUGAAAUGCGUAGAGAUGUGGAGGA
rnacentral:rRNA from 1 species